UAACGCGUGGGAACGUACCCUUCACUACGGAAUAGUCCCGGGAAACUGGGUUUAAUACCGUAUACGCCCUUCGGGGGAAAGAAUUUCGGUGAGGGAUCGGCCCGCGUUAGAUUAGUUAGUUGGUGGGGUAAUGGCCUACCAAGACUACGAUCUAUAGCUGGUUUGAGAGGAUGAUCAGCAACACUGGGACUGAGACACGGCCCAGACUCCUACGGGAGGCAGCAGUGGGGAAUCUUAGACAAUGGGGGCAACCCUGAUCUAGCGAUGCCGCGUGAGUGAUGAAGGCCUUAGGGUCGUAAAGCUCUUUCGCCUGUGAUGAUAAUGACAGUAGCAGGUAAAGAAACCCCGGCUAACUCCGUGCCAGCAGCCGCGGUAAUACGGAGGGGGUUAGCGUUGUUCGGAAUUACUGGGCGUAAAGCGCACGUAGGCGGAUUAGUCAGUCAGAGGUGAAAUCCCAGGGCUCAACCCUGGAACUGCCUUUGAUACUGCUAGUCUUGAGUUCGAGAGAGGUAAGUGGAAUUCCGAGUGUAGAGGUGAAAUUCGUAGAUAUUCGGAGGAACACCAGUGGCGAAGGCGGCUUACUGGCUCGAUACUGACGCUGAGGUGCGAAAGUGUGGGGAGCAAACAGGAUUAGAUACCCUGGUAGUCCACACCGUAAACGAUGAAUGCCAGUCGUCGGGUAGCAUGCUAUUCGGUGACACACCUAACGGAUUAAGCAUUCCGCCUGGGGAGUACGGUCGCAAGAUUAAAACUCAAAGGAAUUGACGGGGGCCCGC
rnacentral:rRNA from 1 species